GAGAGAAAGAAGCCCACACCAAGGGUUGUCCCAGGCUCCCGGUGUGUUUGCUACUGCUUGCUGCACAGAGUUCCGACAGGGUCCUCCCUUAACAAGCAAAGAGGAAAAUCAUCUCUGUUGCGAUGCCAGUGUGACUCGGCAAAGUUGCAUCUAGCGUGCGCGUCUGUCCUGGCUGAGGGGGGCUGAGAGAGGCUUUGCUGCCCUUUUCCCCCUUGAAUACGAGUUUCUCGUGACUUUCCACCACCCUGAACUCACAAUGAUCCGUCAAGGACCUUCUCCUAUUUCCCUCCCAGCACCAUCCUAAUUUCCUCCCUUCAGUGGCUUCUCUCCUCUUCAUGAUCACUUUAUCCCUUCCUGGACCAGAGGAAAUAAUGAGAGACAGUGCCUCCUCCGCUGAAAAUCCACAGCCAGGCAUGGACCCCUCCCCACCACCUCCUACUAUGGUACUUAAAGACCUCACCAUGAAAAACUGGAUUGCAUAAAGGACUGCUCCUGGACAGAGACCCCUGGCUUGUUAUAUUUGCACAACUGGACAGUUUUCAUGGCAUAGAUUGGAUGGACUCUGUCAGUGACAGGAGGCAAUGUCCCUCCUGAAGGAGGGAAGGGAGUCUCUUCACUAGCAAAUACUCCAGCCAUUGGGGAAAAAAAAAAGAUCCUGUGAUUCCAACCAUGGAACUGCUACUCAAAACAACUACAAGAAAGAGGAAGUAGAGACCACGCGAGGUAUUUCCGUGUAAGACUGUUCCACCUUGAGAAAAGAAGCAAAAUGUGGAAAUGGGUCCUUCGCUGGAGAAUGGAUUAAAGAGUCUUUGGUCUCUUUCUGAAUUGUGCUACUUAAUUUAUCAUCACCACCAUCAUCAUCAUCUUUGUUGUCAUCAUCUCCAUCACCCGUGCUUCCUACAUGCCAGAAGUGUUGUGUUCCCUGGUUGAUCUCAUUUAAUUCUUCUGACAGCAAUAUGAGGCCUUGGCAGCUAUGCAGAGCAUUGCAGUGAGAAGCUGCUGUCUUGGGGGAGCUUUACUGCUUUUGGAGAUUUAAUACUGAUCUUGAACUUGAGGUGUGUCUGCAUGAACUUCUAUGCACCAGAAACUUUCAUUUCAAUGCUGAAAUGUGGGGUAAGAUUUUGGUGAAAUUUUAAACAAAUUUAGGGAACUACCUUAAGUAAAUUCAACCAGGUAUCACAUGCAGUCUUACUUUGGAAUUGUGAAAAAAAAAUAAUAAUAAGAGUGGAAAUAUGGAAAGAGAAUGCAAUAGCUACAACAGCAUAAACAUUGACUAUUAAGAAUCAAAAUAAUAUUCAUAAAAAAUAUUCAUUAAGUUAGGUGUCAACAUUUGUAAGAAAUGCACUGUUCCUGGCUUCGAGGUGGAAGAAGGCCGCCACAAGCUAAGGAAUGUGGGCCGCAUCUAGAAGCUGGAAAAGGCAAGAAAACAGUCUCCUCUAGAGCCUCUAGAAGGAAUACAGUCCUGGUGACACCUUGGUCUUGGCCCAGUGAGACCCAUAUCAGAUUUCUAACCUACAGAACUAUAAGAUAGUACAUUUAUGUUUUCUUAAGCCACUAGGUGUGUAAUCAUUUGUUACAACAGCCACAGGAAAGGAAUGCAUGUAUGGUUCUCUACAUUUUUGGUCUCUGCAGAGACAGGGUGGAUGGGGCCAGGAGACUAGCUCUGGCACUUAGAAUGGGGGAUGGGUGUGAUUUGCCCCCUACCUGGGCAAUGUGCCAUGACCUCUCUCUCUGGUGGUUGGACAGCUGAAUGCAGAGGGUCAGUAGAGGGUCAAGGAGGCUCUAGUGGAUGGCAGAGUCGCUGUUUGCAAGGAGCCUUGAAUCUGAAGUCACCACUUGAAAGAGUGUUGCCUCUGGGAGCUGCCCCAACCAAAUGCAUGAGUCUUAAUCCCCUGAGUUCCCAGAGUUCAUUUUUCCCUGCAGCAGAGCUGCUUCUAGUCUAACUCCAGAAUCUCCAAAUCAGAUUAUUUUUUCUUUUUAAAAAAUUUUUAAAGAGUUUUUUUUCUUUUUUUUUUUUUUAAGGGAUCAAACUUCUACAUGGGCAAAGUCAGAACUUUGUUGGGCUUCCUUAGCCUUAGUUUGUAAUUCAGUCUUUUUAAAACUUCACGUAGCACAUGGAGAGCAUUGUAAUCAAAUUUCUAUACUUAGGGCUUGUGACGGUCUUAAACCAGUGCUACUUUCUUGGCCACGGAGGCACCCACAGCCUCACAGUGCAGACAGACAGCUCAUUGGUCUCUUACAGGCUCUUCUGGCCUUUUCCUAAAUAUGCUCUCCAGUGCCAUAAAUUUCUACUUUGUCCAGAGAUUCCUUUUUCUUGGAAUAUGUACCCCACCCCUUCCUUUAAGCUCAGCUCAAUUCCAUCUCCUUCAAGAUGCCUUUCUAGAUUCUCCAAGGAAUAUGAAUUUCCUUCCUCCAUGAUUCCCUGUGUUCUUUCGUAAUACUUAUUAAUGGAUCCCUGUCCUCUCUACCCAAGUACACACACAGGCACAUCCUAAAAUGUAGCUUCUAGAAGGCAAAUAUCAUCCCAGGCUCACUGUGGUCCUUCACCAUAAGAUAGUGCUCUAGGGCAGUAAAUGCUCUGUGCAUUUGCAAAUUUUAGUAAAACCUCUGUGGCUGGUGGAAGAGUUUUGUUUUGUUUGUUUAAGCAGACAGGAUCACGUGGUGCCUUUUAUAUUAUCAUAUAGGACUGGUCCAUUUAUAUAGAGCAAGGGUCCCCCAAGAUUCCUUGUUCAUCAAAAUCUGAAUGACUAAACCAGGCACUGUGCUAAAGGGCCGGAGCACCACGUACCCUGUGGAACUAUCAAAUGUCACCCACUAGGACAGCUGCAAACCACAUAUAGAGUGUACCUACUACGUACCAGACUUUGGGCAGGUGAUCGACAUCAGCCUGAGCCUCUGGCCAGUCCUUCACUUUCUAGGACUUCUUCCCUUUCAGGGAAAUUUGGCCUCCCAGCAUCUGGGGAACAAGCUGCUUAUUUGCUAAUAUCUGUUUGCACAUCAGGGUUUUUUACUUUUAGGAACAGUUUGUCUCUCUGGCAGAUCUCCGUGUUCCCAUACCGUUGUUUAUGAUGUAACUAAGCAUCUAUCGUAUAGAAUUGAACUCAAUUCUCUUUUGAAACUGCAAGAGAUCUAACCCGCUCAUUUUCUUUCCAUUUAACAUACGAGAGGGGUGUGUAGGAGCAGUUUAUUAAGGGGGAGCUGUUUAUUGAAGGAUCCUGGGGCUAAUCCCAGCCCAUUAUUUCUCCAUUUCCUUACAGCUCACUGAGAAGGGUGGGAGAGAACAGGAACGGGGAGACUAUUCUUUCCUGAGUGAUUGUUUGGCCAAUCCACAGGGAUCCUGACUUUCCUACACCCAUCAGGGAAGUAGCAUCCAGAGGGUCAUUCCAGGGACAGGGCUGGCUGUGUCAGGCUGUAAUGAAUGGUUCAGACUGAGAGGUGGAACUUGGCCAACAACAGGGAAAGACAAUAAUCAUUGGAAAAUUUAGGCAUUGAGAAUAAGAUCCAUGUCUGUCUUAUGUCCCCUGGGUACCAACACAAUGACUUGGCUUAGUAACUGUCCCAUAAUGUUUAAAUUAUGUUCAGUGAAUGAGUGAAUGAAUGGAUGCCGUAUUCUUGCUUCCUUCUCCAAACACUCUUUAUAAAAUUACGGCAUCUCAUUCAUGUCUCCUCUAUAAAUCGGGAAUUUGGUGAGGCAUGCUGUUUAUUGCUUAGGAAUCAUUUUACUUAAUCACAAAGGUCCCAGGGGUUCAGGCGGAAAAAAAAAAAAAAAAAAAAAAAAAACAGGUUUGGGAGAAAGAGUAGGAUAGGAUCUUCCUAGAGACUUUUCUUUCUUUUCUUUAAUGGGCGCACCCAUGGAAGAUGGAAAUUCCCAGACCAGGUAUUGAAGCCCAGCCUCAGCUGUGGCCAGAUCCUUUAACCCACUGCACCAGGCUGGGGAAUGAACCUGUACCUCGACAGUGACCCAAGCUGCUGCAGUGGGAUUCUUAAUCCAAGGUGUCACAGCACAGUGAGGCUAGAGCCCCACUUCAACUCCUAUAGAGUUGAAAGCUCUAUAGGAGUUUCUGUCAUGGCUCAGUGGUAACAAACUCUACUAGUAUCCACGAGGACGCUGGGUUUGAUAAGUGGGUUAAGGCUCUGGUGUUGCCGUGAGCUGUGGCGUAGGUCACAGACACGGUUCAGACCUGCUGUUGCUAUGGCUGUGGUGUAGGCUGGCAGCUACAGCUCCAAUUCGACCUCCAUCCUGGGAACUUUCAUAUGCUGCAGGUUUGGCCCCCAAAAAGACCAAAAAAAAAAAAAAAAAA
rnacentral:lncRNA from 9 species